rnacentral:rRNA from 1 species
GACGAACGUUGGCGGCGUGCUUAACACAUGCAAGUCGAACGGAAAGGCCCUGCUUUUGUGGGGUGCUCGAGUGGCGAACGGGUGAGUAACACGUGAGUAACCUGCCCUUGACUUUGGGAUAACUUCAGGAAACUGGGGCUAAUACCGGAUAGGAGCUCCUGCUGCAUGGUGGGGGUUGGAAAGUUUCGGCGGUUGGGGAUGGACUCGCGGCUUAUCGGCUUGUUGGUGGGGUAGUGGCUUACCAAGGCUUUGACGGGUAGCCGGCCUGAGAGGGUGACCGGCCACAUUGGGACUGAGAUACGGCCCAGACUCCUACGGGAGGCAGCAGUGGGGAAUAUUGCACAAUGGGCGGAAGCCUGAUGCAGCAACGCCGCGUGCGGGAUGACGGCCCUCGGGUUGUAAACCGCUUUCGCCUGUGACGAAGCGUGAGUGACGGUAAUGGGUAAAGAAGCACCGGCUAACUACGUGCCAGCAGCCGCGGUGAUACGUAGGGUGCGAGCGUUGUCCGGAUUUAUUGGGCGUAAAGGGCUCGUAGGUGGUUGAUCGCGUCGGAAGUGUAAUCUUGGGGCUUAACCCUGAGCGUGCUUUCGAUACGGGUUGACUUGAGGAAGGUAGGGGAGAAUGGAAUUCCUGGUGGAGCGGUGGAAUGCGCAGAUAUCAGGAGGAACACCAGUGGCGAAGGCGGUUCUCUGGGCCUUUCCUGACGCUGAGGAGCGAAAGCGUGGGGAGCGAACAGGCUUAGAUACCCUGGUAGUCCACGCUGUAAACGGUGGGUACUAGGUGUGGGGUCCAUUCCACGGGUUCCGUGCCGUAGCUAACGCUUUAAGUACCCCGCCUGGGGAGUACGGCCGCAAGGCUAAAACUCAAAGGAAUUGACGGGGCCCCGCACAAGCGGCGGAGCAUGCGGAUUAAUUCGAUGCAACGCGUAGAACCUUACCUGGGUUUGACAUGGAUCGGGAGUGCUCAGAGAUGGGUGUGCCUCUUUUGGGGUCGGUUCACAGGUGGUGCAUGGCUGUCGUCAGCUCGUGUCGUGAGAUGUUGGGUUAAGUCCCGCAACGAGCGCAACCCUUGUUCACUGUUGCCAGCACGUUAUGGUGGGGACUCAGUGGAGACCGCCGGGGUCAACUCGGAGGAAGGUGGGGAUGACGUCAAGUCAUCAUGCCCCUUAUGUCCAGGGCUUCACGCACGCUACAAUGGCUGGUACAGAGAGUGGCGAGCCUGUGAGGGUGAGCGAAUCUCGGAAAGCCGGUCUCAGUUCGGAUUGGGGUCUGCAACUCGACCUCAUGAAGUCGGAGUCGCUAGUAAUCGCAGAUCAGCAACGCUGCGGUGAAUACGUUCCCGGG